ensembl:lncRNA
AUGAAGCUGCAACACUGGUCUUGCCUGCAGGAGGGCCUGAAGUUGAUUAUCAGAACUGACAAAACUGAGCUGUUGGAAUACCCGUGGCCCCUCACAGCCUUGCACCAUCACAAUGCCAUAUUGUCUGGCAAAGUUUACCUGUGCAGCCUCCACUCUGAUGGUCACAAGAUGGACUCAGUACACCAUCUGGAGUGAGUUAAAAGUUCAGGACCCAACGUUCCAGCCUCAGACCUCUGGUCCUGCCUGGAGGAAGAAUGCAGGAAACAGCCAAGCUUGA